ensembl:miRNA
ACACUCAGUGGACUUUUGGACGUUCUAGGAACAUUUAGGAGACGUUCCCUUUCCACAGAGUGUCU